rnacentral:rRNA from 1 species
GUGUCAGCAGCCGCGGUAAGACAGAGGGCUCAAACGUUGUUCGGAAUUACUGGGCAUAAAGCGCACGUAGGCGGCUCACUAAGUCGGUUGUGAAAUCCCUCGGCUCAACCGAGGAACUGCAUCCGAUACUGGUGGGCUCGAGGACGGGAGGGGUAAGUGGAACUCCAGGUGGAACGGUGAAAUGUGUAGAUAUCUGGAGGAACACCGGUGGCGAAAGCGGCUUACUGGCCCGUAUCUGACGCUGAUGUGCGAAAGCUAGGGGAGCAAACGGGAUUAGAAACCCUCGUAGUCC